UCCCCCGUGUGAUUCCCACAAUGAAAGGACA
rnacentral:piRNA from 1 species